CUUAACUGACGCUAAAGCUCGAAAGUGCGGGUAUCGAACAGGAUUAGAUACCCUGGUAGUCCGCACGGUAAACGAUGGAUGCCCGCUGUUGGCGAUACAAUGUCAGCGGCCAAGCGAAAGCGUUAAGCAUCCCACCUGGGGAGUACGCCGGCAACGGUGAAACUCAAAGGAAUUGACGGGGGCCCGCACAAGCGGAGGAACAUGUGGUUUAAUUCGAUGAUACGCGAGGAACCUUACCCGGGCUUGAACUGCAGCUGAACGAUCCAGAGAUGGUGAGGCCCUUCGGGGCAGCUGUGGAGGUGCUGCAUGGUUGUCGUCAGCUCGUGCCGUGAGGUGUCGGCUUAAGUGCCAUAACGAGCGCAACCCUUUUCUCUAGUUGCCAUCAGGUUUUGCUGGGCACUCUGGAGACACUGCCACCGUAAGGUGUGAGGAAGGUGGGGAUGACGUCAAAUCAGCACGGCCCUUACGUCCGGGGCUACACACGUGUUACAAUGGGUGGUACAGAGAGUCAGCGGCCGGCAACGUCCGCUUAAUCAUGAAAUCCAUCCUCAGUUCGGAUUGGGGUCUGCAACCCGACCCCAUGAAGCUGGAUUCGCUAGUA
rnacentral:rRNA from 1 species